rnacentral:rRNA from 1 species
UACGGUAGGGUGCGAGCGUUAAUCGGAAUUACUGGGCGUAAAGCGUGCGCAGGCGGUUUGUAAGCCAGGUGUGAAAUCCCCGGGCUCAACCUGGGAACUGGCAUUUGUGACUGCAUCGCUGGAGUGCGGCAGAGGGGAUGGAAUUCCGCGUGUAGCAGUGGAAAUGCGUAGAUAAUGCGGAGGAACACCGAUGGCGAAGGCAAUCCCCUG